rnacentral:piRNA from 1 species
UGAAGCUGUCUUUCAGAAACUGGGUCU